rnacentral:rRNA from 1 species
CUAUUGGGUAGCAAUAUUCGGUAGUGGGAGUGGCGCAAGGGUGCGUAACACGUGGGUAAUUUGCCGUAAAGUCUGGGAUAACUUGCUGAAAGGCGAGCUAAUACCGGAUGUGAUUGCUGGAGGGCAUCCUCUGGCACUUAAAGUCGGGGACCGUAAGGCCUGACGCUUUUCGAUAAGCCCGCGGCCUAUCAGCUAGUUGGUGAGGUAACGGCUCACCAAGGCUAAGACGGGUAGCUGGUCUGAGAGGACGACCAGCCUCACUGGAACUGAGACACGGUCCAGACACCUACGGGUGGCAGCAGUCGAGAAUUUUUCUCAAUGGGGGAAACCCUGAAGGAGCGACGCCGCGUGGGGGAUGAAUGGCUUCGGCCCGUAAACCCCUGUCAUUUGCGAUCAAACCUUACGACCUAACACGUUGUAAGCUGAUAGUAGCGAAAGAGGAAGGGACGGCUAACUCUGUGCCAGCAGCCGCGGUAAUACAGAGGUCCCAAGCGUUGUUCGGAUUCACUGGGCGUAAAGGGUGCGUAGGCGGUCGGGUAAGUCUGACGUGAAAUCUUCAAGCUCAACUUGGAAACUGCGUCGGAUACUAUUCGGCUAGAGGAAUGGAGGGGAGACUGGAAUACUUGGUGUAGCAGUGAAAUGCGUAGAUAUCAAGUGGAACACCAGUGGCGAAGGCGAGUCUCUGGACAUUUCCUGACGCUGAGGCACGAAAGCCAGGGGAGCAAACGGGAUUAGAUACCCCGGUAGUCCUGGCCCUAAACGGUGCACGUUUGCUGUAAGAGGAAUCGACCCCUUUCGUGGCGAAGCUAACGCGUUAAACGUGCCGCCUGGGAAGUACGGCCGCAAGGUUAAAACUCAAAGAAAUUGACGGGGGCCUGCACAAGCGGUGGAGUAUGUGGCUUAAUUCGAUGCAACGCG